rnacentral:lncRNA from 1 species
AUGGGCUGCCAGAGCAGGGUGAAGGCACGGCUCACCGCGAGCCCUGCGGCACUGGCCCUGUCACUCCGAUGUCAACACGCUGCCUCAGCCCCAGGGAGCCAGGGGACACUUGGCACAGGGCCGGGGAUGGCACGGGGCUGGGGCAGAUGCUGGUGUCCAGAAGGACUGCAGAGAAAGAGCCAUCCCACCAUGCAGGGCUGGAGACCUGAGGAACAAGCCCUGCCCGCUGUGCACCAUGGAGCAGAAAAGCCGCCUCUGGAAAGCACUGAAGUCACUGGCGCUGCUCCGGCUGCUGAGGGGCACGAACCGCAGGGUGCAGCGGCUGCACGCGGUGGCUGUGCGGUGCUGGCGCUCACUCAUGGCACAGAGGCUGCCUGGCAUCGCAUCACUGCUCCCCAGGGAAUGUCACCACCUGCCAGAGCCAGAGGAGGCUGCGGGCAACCCCGAGACCAGCUCGACCAGCAGCAGCAUGGAUACAGCAAAAGACGCACAGACAGGGACAUGGCCAGCAGCUGUGGAGGACAAGCAGGACUUACUGGUGACCCUGCCCCAGCGCUUCCGUAUGCCGGCCCGCAAAGUGCUGUGCCGGCCUUCACCCCAGCGCUGGGUCAAGCCCUGCUGCACCCGCUCCUGUGGAGAGAGCCUGGAGCGCACGCUCACCAUCCGCUACCCCCGGUGACCACCAUCCGUACGAGCGCUGCCCUCGCUGAGCAGGGCCCAUCUCCCCGAGCCCCAGCACAGCUCGCCAGCUGCUGGCUUCCCUUUCAGCGCUGCCUGAGGAGUUGGAGGAGAGUUGCCAGGAGACCUGUGGGUGAUGCACUCUGCCAUCCUGCUGUGAAUAAAGGGAGUGAGCUAUGCCUUACCGACACUGAGUUUCUGCCUCAGAGCUGCUUUCAGUUUGGGUUUCCGAUGUACUUGUAA